rnacentral:rRNA from 1 species
CGGUGGUCAUAGCGGAAGGGAAACACCCGGUCCCAUACCGAACCCGGAAGUUAAGCCUUCCAGCGCCGAUGGUACUGCACGCGCCAGCGUGUGGGAGAGUAGGAAACCGCCGCACA